rnacentral:rRNA from 1 species
UACGGAGGGUGCAAGCGUUAUCCGGAUUCACUGGGUUUAAAGGGUGCGUAGGAGGACUGGUAAGUCAGUGGUGAAAUCCCCGAGCUUAACUUGGGAACUGCCGUUGAUACUAUCAGUCUUGAAUACCGUGGAGGUGAGCGGAAUAUGUCAUGUAGCGGUGAAAUGCUUGGAUAUGACAUAGAACACCAAUUGCGAAGGCAGCUCGCUACACGAAUAUUGACUCUGAGGCACGAAAGCGUGGGGAUCAAACAGG